rnacentral:rRNA from 1 species
UACGUAGGGAGCAAGCGUUGUCCGGAAUCAUUGGGCGUAAAGCGCGCGUAGGUGGCCAUGUAAGUCCGCUGUGAAAGUCAAAGGCUCAACCUUUGAAAGCCGGUGGAUACUGCACGGCUAGAGUACGGAAGAGGCGAGUGGAAUUCCUGGUGUAGCGGUGGAAUGACGGCAGAUAUCAGGAGGAACACCAUAGCGAAGCAGCUCGCUGGGACGUACU